UACGAAGGGGGCUAGCGUUGCUCGGAAUCACUGGGCGUAAAGCGCACGUAGGCGGCUUCUUAAGUCAGGGGUGAAAUCCUGGAGCUCAACUCCAGAACUGCCUUUGAUACUGAGAGCUUGAGUCCGGGAGAGGUGAGUGGAACUGCGAGUGUAGAGGUGAAAUUCGUAGAUAUUCGCAAGAACACCAGUGGCGAAGGCGGCUCACUGGCCCGGAACUGACGCUGAGACGCGAAAGCGUGGGGAGCGAACAGG
rnacentral:rRNA from 1 species